rnacentral:lncRNA from 1 species
GGGAGAAGGGAGGGGAAAAGGAGGAAAGAAAAGGUAUAGAAAGUGACUUAAAACAGGCAUUAUAUCCAACACAGAUUCUGGAAAGUCAACCUUUAACAUUUUUAACUGUGUGUAAUGUGCACAUGAGUGCAGGUGCUUACAUUGGUCAGAUAACCUGAAGCUGAAGUUACAGAUGGCUGUGAGCUGCUUAGUAUUGGCUCCUGAGGACUGAACUUGGGUCCUCUGGAAGAACAGCCAGUGUUCUUAACCACUGAACCAUCUCUUCAGCACCACAAUCAAUCUUUAUGAACAUUUAAACAAUUAAAAUAAUAAAUUUCCAUCUUAUUACUUGAUGCAUUCCAUGUUAAGCCAAAGGAAGAAUGUUCUAAUAAAGAACUGAGAGAAAAAAAAUUCAGAAUUCACAGUGAGCUGCCAUGAGUCUGCCCCAGGAUGCUUACAUCAGUCUGACCCAGGAUGCUUGCCCAUUGUUGAGCAGAUCAAUCUAUACAACACUGACCAAAAACAGAUUUCAAUGCAGACGGAGAAAAUGAGAUGCAAAGA